AUCAUGAUCAUCACAAACACCAACACUUGUUGUCCAGCUAGAGAUUUAGUUGAAUGUGCAAAGAUUUUGAGACAGAUCUUAGAAGCUACUUUCAAAAAAUAUACACACUGCUAUAAUUGUAAAAUGUUUAUUUUAUAUAUUCAUAUAUACUUAUAAAGCUAUUUCCUGACAUGAUUUGCUUGACUCUGUCAGUUAAACCCUUUCUUGUAAACGUGCUGGAAAGAGUUCUUGUAAACUGAGCACUCUAAGCAUUGGAUGCUGGCGAUUGAGAACUCACUGCAUCGUAAUUAGGGAACGGGCCACCUCGACUGGCUGCAUAGAGUUAUAGGAACACCACGUAAUGCUGCAACAAUUAUGCCCCGGCAAUUAGCAACCAAUAAAGCAGCAGACCUCAUUGAUAUAGCUGUCCUACUUAGUAAAAAUACUGGAAAACAAAUAUCCUACAAAACAAAUAACACAGGACUAGCUCUGGCAGAAGAGUGAAAGUGAGCUUGGCUACAGCAAGGAAUCAGAGAGAAGGCAGGCUUUGGCUGAGAAGGAGCAAUUCCUCAGUACCGGAUGGCCGUCUUAACAACCAGCAUAGCUAACCAAUAGCACCCGGGUUCGGGUCCUUAGUACAUGUGAAGUGCCAUUCUGAGUGUUUAAUAGACAUGGUGGCAUUUCAUCCUCACAGCAACCCACCGAGGGAGCUACCUUGUUAGCUCCAUUCUACAGAUGAGGAAGCUGAGGCCCGGAGAGAUUACACCAUCGUAAGUGGCAGAGCCUCAAUUUAAACCAGAACUUAAAUUAAACCCAGAGUUUGCAUGCUGGCAACUAGGUUACCCAGCUUUCCUGGCUGAGCCAUUGCCAGCUGGAGUCUUGAUACUGCUUCUUAAGGAUUUUUCCCCCCAAAUUGAUUGCUGUUCAGACUGUAGGUAAUAGAGCCCUAUUGUACAAUUAGUCCUCUUUGACAGACAUAACCUAUUUAAAGCAUCUUUGAAAGUGUUUGCUCAGCACUUGCAUUUUGCUAUUUAAUUUUUGGCAACCCGUGCUGGUGAUCUAGCUUCAGGGUACAGGGAUGGAAACUGAGGCAUGCUGAGAUCACUGGACUCGGCUGGGAUUUCUGUGAAUUGCGAACAUUCCAUUCUCCCUGGGCCCUUUAAAUGGACUCACUGCGCGCUCAUCACUGGCUGGUUUCCACCUGUUCCCCGACUCCUGCAUUCACCCAGGCCCCUCCCCCUUCACCCCAUUUUGUCAUGCUUAUCCUCUUCUACUCCUGGUCCCUCAAUACCCUGUCCUCACCGCAGUUUGGUUGUGUGCUUCCCCUAAAGUCCUCCAGCUUGGAGAAACUGCUUUGUCCUCCUUGUUCUGGCCAGAUCUCAGAAUUCCCUUGUAGUCACACCCCACGUCCACGCAGGACGCAGAGCAACGUGCUGCUUAAAAGAUUGGAUUUGAAUCCACCUGUGUGACCAUGGGUGAAGUAUUUAACCACUGGGAGCCUCAGAUUCCCCACCUGUACCAUGUCAAUAUCAGUGGCAGCGUCUCCCCUUUGCUGGUGGAGAGCCUGUGAUGGGGUCCUGUUCAGGACUGGACUUCUCUAACAGGUGCCCCUGUAUAUUUGUGAAGUAAUUAGACUAUGUCUGGCACAUUGGGGAUGCUCAGUAUGUAAUAGCUAUUACUAUUAGGAGAACUCUCUGUCCACCCUGCCCUCGCUGACGAUGUGGGGCCAUUCUCCACCUAGGGACUGAAUGGGAAGAGAGUUAGCUAUGUGAGAACAGACAUCAUACCUGUGUUACUUUUGUGUUCCCAGCAUCUAGCAUAGCUCUUGGAAAAUUACCAUAAUAACUAGAAGAAAAAACAGUGUACAUUUAUUGAGCACAUGCUAAUGGCUAGGUACUGAGUUAAACAAGUCAUCUGUGAUAUUUAAUCCUCAUGAGGAUUUUCCAGGGAAGUCCUUUUAUUUUCUCUGUCGUAUAGAAUGAGAAAGCUGAGCUUCAGAGAGGUGACAUAAUUUGCCUUGAAUCACACAGUCAGUGUGAUUCAAACCAGAAUUCAAAGUAAGAACGGUCUGACUGUAAACUGUGGGCUUUAAUCGCAGAAUGGGCUGCUUCAGUCAAUAGUGAAGGAGGGAGGCAAGAAGGGAGAGAAGGAGCGGGGAAGAGAGUGAGAGAGGAAGGAAGGAAUGCCCCACGGAAUCGCAGCGUAGCGGAAGGACCGGUUCUUAAACUAAGCUGCACACUGGAAUCAUUUGGCCAACUAAAAGAAAAACACUGAUGCCUGGGUCUCACCUCCAGAGACUCUAGUUAAUUGGUCUGGUGUGCAGCCUGGUCAUCAGGAUUGUGAAGGCUCCCAGGGGACUCUAGAGUGCAGCCGAGGUUGAGACUGACUGCCUUAGCUGGAGCACAUUCUCCCUGUCCUCCGAGGUGGCCCGAGAGCACUUUUCAUUAGCACAUGUGAGCAGCACCUGAGGUCUCCCAGUGUUGGCUGCAGGUGCGCUGGGCUCUGAAGGGGUAGGGGUACAUGCAGCGACAGACGGCGUGGUAGAUGCAGAAUCCGGAGGGGCAUGGAGUUCAGGCAGCGGGGUUUAUUACAGUCUAAAUGACAAAACCUUCUGUGCAGAGUUGCAUGCCGACAGUGCUCAGACUGCAGGAGGGAAGCGACGCAGUCCCUUCUGCUGAGUGUCCCCCUCACUACGGUGACAGGGCGCCUUGUGUCUGGGAUUUCCUUGAGGAUGACUUUUCCAGAUUGCCCCAGGCUGGUGCUCUGAUCUGCCUCAAGGCCUGGCUCACUGGGGCUGAGCAGCUUUUGUGGGCUGGGCCUGGGGGGGUCCCAGCCAGGUUGGGCAAACCCUGAGCCUUGGCACUAGGAGGGGAAGACAGACGUCUGCCUGCUGGGCAGGGUGUCCGCACCACCGUGGGAGUUGGUGAAGUUCUUUGGGCCGCAUCGCCGAAGGACACAGCGUUUCCUUUGACUCAGAAAGGAAAGGGGCCUUUUUUAUAGUAGCUGUUGAGUGUUCCUCAGCUUCACUGCCAAGCCUAGAACUGGAAGCUGGUCUGCACGAUUCCCCAACUUUGCACUCCAAGGAGAACUGUGCAGGCUGCAAGAUUCAUCAGCACAUGGGAGAUCUGCCCUCUGCAAAAAGAAACCAGAAAUAAUCAAACAAAAAUAGCCUUUCGCCAUGCUUGGCCCAGCCACCAACUCAAAAUGUUCUAGAAGCUCAUAAUAAAAGUGGCUGUUUAUGUUGCUUGUGUCCCAGAUCUUGUAGUUAGUACUUUUCAUUAUUAGACCAUCUAAUCCUCACUUGCACUCCAACUGGUAGAUGAUAUUAUCCUCAUUUUGUAGAAAAAUAUCUUGCGGUUCAGAGAGGUUAAAAUAAAUUGCCCAAAGUCAGAGAGCUUAUGAGCAGCUAAAGGAGGAUCUGGGCUAAGUUCCUCCCAAACUUAUGUGCUUGCUGACCUCACUACACUGCCUCUGUCAGAGAAUAGACUCUGUUUUGUCGAUCUCUGAUUUUUUUGGCCCCUUGCACACAGUCCGAUGCCUAGAAGACCCACAAUAAUAUUUACUGAGUAGAUGGAUAGAUGAAUGAAUGAAAAAAUGAAGAAAUGAAGCCAUUACAUCAUUCUAAUCUCAGUUCUUCACUUGCCAAAUGGAGGUUGUAAGGACAAGAGAAAACACGCAUAUGACAAAGCUUUCAUAGGUAAGCCCUGCUAAUACUAAUCAAAAUAGAAAAUUAUGUCGAAAGGAUAAAAUUUCCCUUUGCACUUAGGCAAAAUGUGUCUAUUCAUUUGUUUUACUAAUCAACCACAAAAAAUAACAGUUGCAAGACCUCAGAUAUGGAGGAUCUAGAAAGUUUUCCAGAUGAUAGAGGGAUGAAGUGGGAGGAGAUUCCAUUUUGGAACAUUCUUUUUGCUCAUGGAAUUCGGUGCUUGUGGGGGUUGGAGAAUUUGGAGCUGGGAAGGAAUUCCGAGACUAGGUCUGAAAUGCCUUGUGCUAGAGAUUAGGAAACUCAGAGAGAGGAGUUCAGCCGCUUAACCAAAGUCACAAAGAAAGUGAGUGGCAGAGCUGCAAGGAGGAUGGGAGCUGCUGGUUUGCAGCCACACUAUACCUCUUUCUCCUUCCUGGAGUGGUGCUGAGCCCGGCCUCUCCGAGCCAAAGGGUGGCCUGUGAGUUGCACGCCCGCAGCCAGGCCUGGCAGACCAACAACUGCGUGAUUGAUGGUUCUCUGCUUUUGUCAUUUAUUUGCCUUGUUUUUUUCCUUCCCCCAACAGAGCUGAUAAGGAGGGUUUUGCUGGAGAAUCAUGUCUCUCUUCUUUUUUUUUUUUCCUUUGACCAGUGAGAUGCAGUUCUCAUUCCUCCAGCCACUUUUCAAGGGCUAGGCCCUGGUGGCGCUGGUUACAUAGGAACCAGCCUUUACUGUAACCUGGUCACUGUCUGAAGAGCUCUCCAUGGCUUCAGCCCUAGAAGGGAGGGGUUAUUGUUACCCCCCUUUGACAGGUAUGAAUUCAGCAGCCACACUCCUCCCCUGCAGCAGCCAGAAUUUUGCUCAGGACCUCAAGUGGCGUCUGACCACCUCGACCGGUCUUGGAGAUGACAGAUCCGUUUACAGCGCUGCCGAAUGGAGUCAUAUUAAGUUAUCCAUCUCUGCCAAAAGCUAUUCAUUGUGAGCUCUGCCCCAUAAUGGAGCACGAUGGAUUGCUUCUUUUGGCCAGAGAAUAACUUAACCUGUGACUUGGGAUGGAGGUAUGUUUUCCAUGAAAAGGUGGUUAACAGGCUCUUCCCUCGUCAGAAAGACCGGCCAAGGCUGUGUGAAGUGCCAAAAGCUGUGUUACAUCCUCAAAGUCUGUGCAAUUGAAUUCCUCUCAGUAUAUGAUGUAUUUAGUUCCCCGUCUGGGUUUUCAGGAAUUAGAGCUGUUAUUGUACAGUCUAAUUUCAAGUCCGGAGCUUUAUUAUUCAAAAGAAACGUCCAUUUUUUUUUUCCUCUCCACUUGUUCUAUCCCCUCCUUCCUGUUCUGUGUGCAUUCUGCAGGGGGUUUAAUUGAGUUUUCCCCACAAGGAUUCCAUUGCAACUCCAGAGCUUGAAUAUCUGGAUAGUCAAUGAAGCUUGAAAAAAGAGAGCUUUUGUCACAACCGUGACUGUAUUCAAACGGAAUCCCUUCAUUUCCAUGGAGAAGUACAAUAUGUCCCGGUGAGGCGGUUUUAUAUUAACUUGGGGCCGGGAGGUGGAGUCAGAUGUGCGCAUGCGCCGUCCCGGGGCUGUCCGCGCGGGGCGCUCUGGGGCUGUGGCGCUGCUGGUAGGUGCUGGGCCUGGGCAGAGGGUCUGGGUCCCGGAGCACCUCUGCAUUGAUCUUUUCCUCUCCCCCCUCCCUCUGUGUCUUUUCUCCAGCCCAGGGGUGAAGUCACCCCGUAUCAGAUGGACGUUAGCCUGAAGAAACCCAGCCUGCGGCGCCUUUGCCCACUAACCCUUUCUGUACUGCUUUUCUAGGUGGGUGUGUCGGGGGAGCGGGAGAACCUGGGACCUGGAGCUGAAAUCCGUGCCCCGCUCCUCUCUCCCCUUACUCCUUUGGGACGGUUCUACAUACUGAGCUGAGCCUUCUGUACUUUUUUGCCAUCUUUGGCGUGGGAAUGCUAAGAUCUGAAAGUGAUUGGUAACCUAUGACGCACAUACAAAAUAAAUAAAUAUCAAAUUAAAUUAAAAUAUAUUCUAAACUUUGUACAGGAGUGUUGGUAUAGCGCAUGACGGUGCUUCAGGGCUGACGGGGUGCGAGUCCAGCGCUUUCUCCUCUUAGCCCAGUGAUCUCAGGCCAGCAUCUUGGCUCCUGGGAUUCUCAGUUUUCUCAUCUCUGAGAUAAGAAUAACCACCAUAUUUAUCUCAAAGAUAGUUGUGGAUGUUUAAUGAGGUAUUACACUCAAAGCCUGUUACAUAGGCUGGCCACUGACCCUCAAUACUUGUUGGCGGUGCUGAUGAGGGGAGAGAUGGAUCUUAUUGUUUAUUGUUGUUAUUACCAUCCUCUCUCUCGGAGCUGAGCUCCUCUCUUACUCUGGAAUAUUCCAUUUGCAGGCUGCCAUUUUCAGAGUGGAAGUGACUCCUGCCACUUCUCCUGCCUUUCAGCAGCACCAUAAGCUGGGUCCUCGAACUGUGGACAAAUGCACAUGUGGUCUCUAGUGAACGCUGUGCAGGGAGGAGGGGUGGAAAAUUCCAGGUCUGGCUGCUGCUUGGGUGGCUGACCCUAUUAACCAUUAACAGUUUAUCUUGAAUCUGAUUCUGAUUACAUCCAAUUUGUUCUCUUGCCCCCCUCCUUCCCUGGUUCCCUUCUAGAAUUUACAUUAGAAAAUGAAUAGCCAGUGUAUCUCAUUUGUUAGUGUUGGAGCCCCUGGCUGUUCUCUCAUGUCGGCUCACCUAGGCAUUCUCUUGGUUUUACUAACUCAUGACCUUGUCAUGGCUAGAGGAGGAGAAGGGAACUUUUCUCUGGGCCUGUUAUUCCAUCUGUGAAAUAAGAUGACUAACCCUCAACCAUCCUACCUGAUUUUGGCCUUGUCAGGAAUUCAGAGGCAAUGGCUUUUGAGCUCCUAAACAGAAAGGCACUUCAAAAACAGUGGGAUAUAGCAGUGUUGUAUCUUCCAUAGAGGUUAGCCGGGUGCAAAAGACUGGUAAAAAUUGUAAAGGGUCAAAAUUACCUUUGGAACUGUGGUAAAUUGCUCAAUAAGGAAGCACAGAAAUCAAGGUGUUAUGAUAAGACUCUAUACUAAUAUGGAUGUGUCAAUGUAAAAUGUACACAGACUUUACGUGACCUAUAGAAUAUUAGACAGCAAUGUGCCAAAUGUAAUGGUAUGCUGUUUUGAAUUAUAUAAAGAGAGAGCACGUGUAGUUGGCUUUGCAUGGUAAAUACAUGCUGGAUUCUGUUCCUCUGUUAGAACUGAAUUAUUUUGCUUUCCUGUGAAAGAGUUUCUGUGAAAAGAAAUUGUGUUUUAAGAUUCAGAGAGUUUAGUUUCUCAACUAUUUUAUUAGAAGGGGAGCUCACCAAUAAGGUUGUCCCACAGAAAUAGUAGAGAAGCCACACAGAGCAAAACCCUAGCAUCUUUUCAUUGUAAAUAGGAUAAGAAUAAAAAUGCUCUUAACUGGCUCACAACAAUGGACCCUCAGACAAGUGACCAUUUCAUACGAUUUGUGGAGAUCUUGAAGUCAACAAUUAUGUUUCGUCAGGGCCAGUUACCUGGAGAGAAUGAUACUGGCAGGAAGAGUAGUGAAAGCCAACAUUUGCUGACUGCUUUCUGUGUUCCAGGUUCUAUACUGAGCCCUUCAUAUAUGCUAUUUUCUUUGAGCUAGGUGCUAUGACUGUUCCCGUUUCACUGAUGGUGAAGCUGAGGCAUGGAGAUGUUAAGUACUGGUGACUGACCCAAGGUCACGCAGCUAGGGAGCACAGCACCCAGAAUAGUACUGCUAGCAGUCUGAUUGCAGAGCUCAUGCUCUCUGCAAUGGUCUGAAUGUUUAUGUCCUCCCCAAAUUCAUGUGUUGAAAUCCUAACCCCUAAAGGUGAUGUUGUUAGAAGGUGGGGCCUUGGGAGGUGGUCAGGUCAUGGUGAUAGAGCUCUCAUGAAUGGGAUGAGUGUCCUUAUAAAAGAGACGCACAGAGCUCAUCAGCCCCUUUCACUAUGUGAGGACGCUGGAGGUGCCAGCUGUAAACCAGAAAGAUGGCCCUCACCAAAACAUGACCAUGCUGGACAAUGCUGGUACCUUGACCUUGGACUUCCAGCCUCCAGAACUGUGAGAAAUAAGUUUCUGUUGUGUAUAAGCUACUCUGUCUGUGGUGUUUUGUUAUAGCAGCUUGAAUGGACGAAGAUGCUCUCAGAAGGAUGCACAAAAUCAGGGCUUUCGUCUUGGUUCCUUUACUUCAUACUUGGGAAAGCCACUUUCUCUCUCCACAUCUCAGUUUCCCCACCUGUGAACUAAAGAUAAUGAUGUCUGAAUGGGACGUUGAGCACAGACCACGAAACAAUGAUCGGGAAUUGUUGCACAACCCUACAGGGACGGAAGUUUGUGGGUUUGUGCUGAAUUGUUGCACAACCCUAUAGUGAUGGAAGUUUGUGGGUUGGUGCUAAUUUAGAGACGAAGAGGGGGCCCAGCCCUGUGGCCAAGUGGUUAAAUUCAGUGUGCUCUACUUCA